rnacentral:rRNA from 1 species
GUAAGGAAUAUUGGUCAAUGGAGGCAACUCUGAACCAGCCAUGCCGCGUGCAGGAAGACGGCCCUACGGGUUGUAAACUGCUUUUGUACCGGAAUAAACCCCCGUAUGUAUACGGGGUUGAAUGUACGGUAAGAAUAAGGAUCGGCUAACUCCGUGCCAGCAGCCGCGGUAAUACGGAGGAUCCAAGCGUUAUCCGGAUUUAUUGGGUUUAAAGGGUGCGUAGGCGGCCUAUUAAGUCAGGGGUGAAAGACGGUGGCUCAACCAUCGCAGUGCCUUUGAUACUGAUGGGCUUGAAUGAACCUGAGGUAGGCGGAAUGUGACAAGUAGCGGUGAAAUGCAUAGAUAUGUCACAGAACACCAAUUGCGAAGGCAGCUUACUAAAGUUUAAUUGACGCUGAGGCACGAAAGCGUGGGGAUCAAACAGGAUUAGAUACCCUUGUAGUCC